ensembl:lncRNA
AUUUUGUAUUGAAUUAAUUGAAGACUGGGAUAUCUAAUUAGAUGAAAGGUUUUUAAGCAAAUCUGAGACCAGAAGUUUUGGUUUAAGUUAACUGAUAAAUCCGCUUCCCAUUUUGCAAUAGGAAGUGAUAUUGAUUCAUCUGUUUUAGAAAGCAUUCUGUAUAUUUUGGAUAGUAAUUUGGGGGUUUUAAGAGUAAGAAAUUGAACCCAUAUUGUGUAACUAGUCUGUCCAAUAAAACAAAUUCUGUUCCUUCUAAUAUAUGUUCUAAAUAUUUGAUUCCUUUACCACUCCAAUCUGAAAAGUUUAUCAUAUUAUUGUUUUGUAAUAUGUCAAGGUUGUUCCAGAUAGGUUUACGUUUGCAUGGGAUUAAUGAAGACUGUCAAUUUUAGAAACUCCCACCAUGCUGUCAGAGAAGAGCUGAUGCUGACGCUUUUGAAGCAUUCAUGUCGUUGGAUGUUUGAGCUGAUAAAUGGUAGAUCUGAAAUCUCUAGAUUAUUGCAAAGUGCUUGUUCUACAUCUAGCCAAGGUUCAUCUAAGAGGGUAUGUUUUAGCCAUCCUGAGAUAAACUGAAGCCUGUUGGCUAAGAAGUAGUGCUGAAAGUAAGGCAGUUCUAGUCCUCCUUUAUCCUUGGUCUUUUGUAGUGUUUUUAAGCUUAUACGUGGGGGUUUAUUUUUCCAAAUGUGACAGGUGAGACCUGGAGACUUGGGACCGCCCCUGGUGGGCGGAGCUGGUCUUCGCUCCUUUCAUAAGCGCAGGUGUGGGCAAUUGGGUAUUCCUUUGCAAACCUGAAGCUGCGAGUGCUUGGUCCGAGUUGGGCAAGUUGGUGUUUCUUAACUAUGAAAGUCUGAUACGCGUCCUCCCCUAAACUUCUGUUAGAACUGUGGGAAACAUUGCUCCCGUGAGAACGGUAUAGUGGACUUCAUCGCCACUGACCCACAUUUAUUAGGGUGUGACACGAACUUGUGGACAGAGUACCGAGCUGCUGCUUUGCCAGGUGGAUUUCUGGCUGCGGGCAAAGGACCCGACACAUCAGUGUGUUUUAAUUUGUUUUAAACUGGUGUAAGUCGACGGACUGACUGCUGCGGCUGUCGAUGGUUUUGUUUUUUUGUUUUACUUUUUUCUGUAUCAGUAGGCACCACAGAUAUUGAUUCGCAGGCGGUGAAGGCGCUACAGGGAAAACAAAUCCUUUUUUUGCCUCCCCGCUUUUGCAUGCACAGCGGGGGGCCCGAGUGAAGACGGCGCUGAAGAUUUGCCUUUUUUUCUAUAGUGUUUUACCCAUUUGGGGUCAUGUGUGAGUUGCCGUCCAUUUUUAACCUGUGUGCUAUGUCGAUUUGUUUUUAAACUGUUCCCCGCAGCGCUUGUCCUGUCUCACGGGCAAUCGUACAGUUUUAUCGUUUUUAAUAAGGUAACGUUUUUAAUUGUUUUUAGGUGCUGCUGUUACACUGUUUCUUUUAUUUUGUAUUAAAAAUUAAACUCUUUUAAACUGACUGUGCGCCUACGGCUCUGUCCUAUUUUAAAUAGGUACCUACCACGGGUCACACAAAGGAAUUUGGACAUACAUGAAUCUGGAGAUCUGAACCAAUCUUGUGGCGGUUUAGUUGGGAUCAUUGAGAAUAAAUAAUUUAUUUUUGGUAAGACCAUCAUUUUUAUAGCGGCAACCCUUCCCAUGAGUGAUAUGGGUAGACAUUUCCAUCUAGCCAGAUCGCCUUCUACCUUCUUUAAAAGUGGGACAUGGUUUAAUUUAGUUAGAUCUGCAAGCUUG